rnacentral:lncRNA from 1 species
AUGUGUUUAUGCGAAGGUUCACCGCUGCACACAGGUUUGCCUUCCAAGAGAUUAAUAAACGGAACAAGCUUCAGUCCCAAAGUGGGCCCGUCGCUGCAGUGCCAGCGAUGGAGACGUCGUCUGUCUGCUAGUCCUCAGAUGAGGUCUGCAUCCUCUACCACCGAGCAGAGCGGGGAAACACACCAGCCGCUCCACCAUCACAUCUCCGUCUCCUUCUCGAGGCGACCAGAAGCGUCCACCAAACCGCCAGUCGAACCUGCACAAAGCCAACCCUCUCCCGUCCAACAGCACGUCCUCACCGUGACACCCCCUCUCUCUGUGGGUGUCUGUGUGUGCUGUGUGUAUCUGUUUGUGUGUUUUGGCGCUAAGCAAUCGCACCACAACCGCCGUCGCAUUUAGCCAAAGCUAAGCUAAGCGUUGAUUCUUCAUCAACGCUAAUGUCAACAAACGGACUCUCACCAAGCACCGGUCUGAUGUCAGAGAAACAAAAUGGCGGCACCACGUGGCGCUGUGUGUCGACGUCACGUUGGGCGGAGAGCGUUCAGAGGGGGCCGGCCUCGAGAGGCGGCGCCGUAAAUCCCCCGCUCUCCGCCGGAGCAGACGACGUGAGGCGGCGUGACUCACCUCACGUCCUGCCGCUAAUGAGACGUGGCAACAAACCUGACGACCGGGCGCCGGGCAGCGGGCGGGGGGAUUAGGGGUGUGCAGUGCUUGCCCACAUGUCUCUCGUCAGCGGGUUAAUACGAGAUGAUCAGCGCGUCUCCAGCUGAUAGGACGGUGGUGACGCCCGGUCGACGAUCUCCUGAUGGGGAGUGGAUGUCGGCAGACAUCAGGACGGUGGCUGGAUGGACAGAUGGUCUUGGGUUUGAUACCCAAUGCACCCGGGUUACAAGCAGGGCUGCCCGAUUAUGGAAAAAAUCAGAGUAUUUUUUCGAGUAUUUUGGUCGAGAUUGAAAUCACGAUUAUUGUGACGAUUAUUUUUGAAUUGGAAAACAUGAUCUAUUUAUUCAGCAUGUCUAUCCCCAAAAACACUUUGCAACUGGGAACUUUGUAAUUUCGCCUUAAAGAAAUACACAAAAUGGUCAAAAAGAGAAAUGUAUCCAGCUGUUCUAUAAAUAAAAUGAAAACUCGAUUAUACUUGUUUUGUGAUCAUUUGACGCUAAAAUCGAAAUUGCGAUCAAACUCAGAUUAAUCGCCCAGCCCUAGUGACACGUGAGAUUCCGCGCCCCGAGGCUAGGAGGGAGGCGAUGCAGAGUCAGGUUGACCUCUAAACUCUGAGUCUUGAGUGUUGAGACUGGAAGCUCGUUCCACCACGGCGGUGCCAAAACAGAGAAGGGUGAUGAUCGACCUUUGCUCGCUCUUAGCGACGGCGGUACCAGACGUCCAGCUGAGGACGCUGAGCGGAGCGAUCGACCUGGGGUGUGUGGCCUGACCAACGCUUGGAGGUAGGCAGGGGCAGUUCCUUUGACUGCCUUGUAGGCCAGUGCCAUCAUCUUGAAUCUGAUUCGAAUUCACUGGGGUGCCUCCUGCAUUCUGAUGAUCAGUACGAGUGUGUUCUCAGCACUGGUUUGUAGCACUCAGCUGAGCGUUCUGCGAGGUCAGCUCCAUUAAGUGUCAGAAGCGUUGGGCUCUCAGGGCUCCGGAUGCAACACAAAGCCUUCGGCGACGCCGCGAUGCAUUAGAUAUGAAUGGACUCUGUGUGACCUGCGCCACGUCUCACCCACCGGUACGCAGAAGGCUCGAGUCCCUUUGGCUGGCCUUGUCUGCUGGACGUGUUGUCUGGGGAUGGAUCCUCCUCCGCUGGCCCUGGCUCAGUGAGGCCAGCCCUCAACGUCUGAGAGAAAGAGAAGGUCCUGGGUUCAAAGCCCGACCGGCGGGUAGGCACGACGUUGGGGGAGUCAGUCCGUUUGUUUUGAUAGUUCUCUGCCCUCACUCCCAGCCCACGCUUCGGAUACAAGCCUCAGCUGAACGAUGAGCGGUGAUUUAAAGUCACCAGUAUGAUUAUACUCAGAAUGUUGGGAUUGCCUGGUUGCCGUGGGCUUAUCAUAAUAGGAUGGUUGGAAAUCGUUGGUGAUUGUCAUCAGGAUCGAAGGAAACAUGUCGUGUUAGGGGACAUGUUACCGUAGUUAGCAUAAUAGCGUACUCUGAAGGCCGAUCUGAACGAGCAUGCUGCUCAACAAGCCCACUAUGUUUAAACAAAGAACAACGAUAAACUGGCAGCAUCUGCCGCACAUUAUUCUCCUUUAAUAACUGUAGCUCUCUCUCUCUGUCCUGUUCCGUCUCACGGUCUCUCCAUCUCUGUCAUCUCUCUCUCUCUCACUCUCUAAUCUUUCUCUCUUGCUCUCUAAUCUCUCUCUCUCUCUCUCUCUCUCUCUCUCUCUCUCUCUCUCUCUCUCUCUCUCUCUGUCUUAACUAGCACAUCUAAAGCUUUUCUUCCCCCUAAAUCUCCACCCCUCCCUCAACCCGCUUUAGUUUCAGGACACAUUCUAUUCCUCAGCGUUGACUCCUACUGUUAACUAGCUUUCAUCAUCUCUCUUCCUCCCGUUCAAUCCUCCUCCUCCUCCUCCUCCUCCUCCUCCUCCUCUCCCUCUGCCUCCCCUUCAUCUCCCUCCUCUCCUCCCUCCCUCCCUCCCUCCCUCCCUCCCUCCCAUGGAUU